GCCCGGGUGGCGGAAUUGGCAGACGCAGGGGGCUUAAACCCCCCGGCACCUCAGGGUGCAUGCGGGUUCGAACCCCGCCCCGGGCA
rnacentral:tRNA from 1 species